GACGAACGCUGGCGGCGUGCUUAACACAUGCAAGUGGAGCGACGAACCAGGGCUUGCCCUGGGGCAGAGCCGCGAACGGGUGAGUAACACGUGGGUAACGUGCCCCGAUGACUGGGACAACCCGGGGAAACCCGGGCUAAUACCGGAUGUGCCCCCUCACAUCAGUGAGGUGUGUAAAGGAAGCUUCGGCCUCCGCAUCGGGAUCGGCCCGCGGCCCAUUAGCUUGUUGGUGAGGUGACAGCUCACCAAGGCUGCGAUGGGUAGCUGGUCUGAGAGGACGAUCAGCCACACUGGGACUGAGACACGGCCCAGACUCCUACGGGAGGCAGCAGUGGGGAAUCUUGCGCAAUGCGCGAAAGCGUGACGCAGCAACGCCGCGUGGGGGAAGACGGCCUUCGGGUUGUAAACCCCUUUCAGUUGGGACGAAGGUCGGGCGGUUAACAGCCGUUCCGGCUGACGGUACCUUCACAAGAAGCCCCGGCUAACUACGUG
rnacentral:rRNA from 1 species